rfam:Schistosoma mattheei strain Denwood, Zambia genome assembly, scaffold: SMTD_scaffold0018053
GCAUUGCUGAGGAGUCCCACAACAUAACGAAACAGCUGUCCAAUGC